CCUACGGGCGGCAGCAGUGAGGAAUAUUGGUCAAUGGCCGGAAGGCUGAACCAGCCAUGCCGCGUGAAGGUCAGUGCCCUAUGGGCGUUAAACUUCUUUUGUGCGGGAGCAAUAAUGGUCACGUGUGGCCAGACGAGAGUACCGUACGAAUAAGCAUCGGCUAACUCCGUGCCAGCAGCCGCGGUAAUACGGGGGAUGCAAGCGUUAUCCGGAUUUAUUGGGUUUAAAGGGUGCGUAGGCUGUGAGGUAAGUCAGCGGUGAAAUGCCCCCGCUCAACGGGGUGAAGUGCCAUUGAUACUGCCUGGCUGGAAUGCGGAUGCGGUGGGAGGAAUGUGUGGUGUAGCGGUGAAAUGCAUAGAUAUCACACAGAACACCGAUUGCGAAGGCAUCUCACGAAUCCGCGAUUGACGCUGAUGCACGAAAGCGUGGGUAUCAAACAGGAUUAGAUACCCGGGUAGUC
rnacentral:rRNA from 1 species